GCUCAGUAACACGUGGUCAAUCUGCCCUAAGGUGGAGCAUACUCCCGGGAAACUGGGGCUAAUACUCCAUAGAUGAUGUAACCUGGAAUAGUACAUCUUCGAAAGAUCCGUCGCCUUAGGAUGAGACUGCGUCUGAUUAGGUAGUUGGUGGGGUAACGGCCCACCAAGCCCAUCAUCAGUACGGGUUGUGGGAGCAAGAUCCCGGAGAUGGAUUCUGAGACAUGAAUCCAGGCCCUACGGGGCGCAGCAGGCGCGCAAACUUUACAAUGCGAGCAAUCGUGAUAAGGAAACCCUGAGUGCCUGUCGAUGCAGGUUGUUCAUAUAUUUAAAUUGUAUGUGAAGAAAGGGCAGGGCAAGACCGGUGCCAGCCGCCGCGGUAAUACCGGCUGCUCGAGUGAUGGCCACUAUUACUGGGUUUAAAGCGUCCGUAGCUUGAUUUUUAGGUCUCUUGGGAAAUCUUUUGGCUUAACCACAAGGCGUCUAAGAGAUACCGGAAAUCUUGGAACUGGGAGAGGUAAGCCGUACUUCGGGGGUAGGAGUGAAAUCUUGUAAUCCUCGAGGGACGACCUAUGGCGAAGGCAGCUUACCAGAACAGCUUCGACAGUGAGGGACGAAAGCUGGGGGAGCAAACGGGAUUAGAUACCCCGGUAGUCCCAGCCGUAAACAAUGUGCGUUAGGUGUGUCGGUUACCACGCGUAACUGAUGCGCCGAAGAGAAAUCGUGAAACGCACCACCUGGGAAGUACGGUCGCAAGGCUGAAACUUAAAGGAAUUGGCGGGGGAGCACCACAACAGGUGGAGCCUGCGGUUUAAUUGGAU
rnacentral:rRNA from 1 species